GUGAUGAGAUCAUUCCUGGAAAAUGUUUAGGUGUCAACAGCUUUCAGUAUUACAUGGAAUGUAAUCGACAGGUGUAUACUAGAUCGAUAUAAUAAUCUGCUCUCCUAACUAAACAGAAGUCUGUUUGAAAGCAAAUCUGUUAAGUGUACUUCAAUACUGUGAACAAUUGAUACUAUACUAUCUGAACACAUCAGCAUGAGCUCAAAUCUUCAAAGAAUGUAUGGGUUUUUUCGAUGCUCGGGCUGUAACAAGAACUGGGAAAGCUCCCAUGUCUAUUGUCUCAGAGGAACAAUGGAGGCUACUUAUGGUCAAGAAUGCAAGUCCUGCCGAGUCAUGUGCAAACCGUAUAGAGUCGAGCAUCUCGUCUGCUCCCAGUGUGGUGAAGUGACCUGUGUAUGUCCAUUCAAAGAAAGACACGUGGACCCCAACAUUUCACACCGCAGAGACCUCUGUGAGAAAUGUAGAUCUGGACAUCCAUGUGCCUAGAUGUCUCACCAAUACAGAUAAACAUGUGUUUCUAUGAUGUGAGAAAUGUAGAUCAAGACAUCCAUGUGACUAGAUGUCUCUUCAAUACAUACAGAUAAUAAUGUGUUUGUAUGUUCAGUGUGGCUGUGGUAGAGAGGAAAAGAAAGCUUUUUUAUAUGUGUUAGUGUAUGUGAGAGAAUGUGCUUGUUCGUGUGAGAUGUUGAGAAAGAGUGUAAGUGUGUGUGUGUGUGUGAGAGAGAGAGAGAGAGAGAGAGAGAGAAAGAGAAUGUUUUUGAUAUUAAAUCAGUGUUUGAAAUCCAUUGAAUAUAUUGUUUUCUUGACUAGACCCACUUUUUAGAGCUGGCUAUCUCUGGUAGAACUCCAGGAGUGUUUUGUUUGGUUUUGGUAUUGAUCACAAGGUCUGAAAGAGGAACUUUACUUUUUUGUCUGACUUUACUUCCUAGCACCGGGCGCUCUCCCUCUAGCCUCCCUCCCCCACUUGUUAUUUAAACUACAGUGUGUCAAUCAAACUGAAAAUAUUGUUUGUAUGGUCAUUUCAUACAAGGCGAUGAUUCAAAUACUACUCUAAAUUGUCUUUCACUAGCGUAAUCUUUCGAUAAUCCAAGAUCAUUUCUGUCAGGGGUGCAUGUUUUGACACACUUUGAUGUCAGUGUCGUAAUAUGAUGUUAGACUAUCUUAAAGUACUUCACUGCUUUCAUGAAACAUUAGAGUGAAGACUACACUUAACUUCUAAUUAUUUGUAACAAAAAUAAUUAAAUUAAAAUAAUUUCAAUAUCAGGUUUCUGAGAAAUGUACAUUUUUAUAACAUAUAUUUGUAUACCUCGCUUAUCAUGUUGUAUGUUUGUGACUCUCAGUCAAGUGUACACAUCUGACAUAUUUUAUGCCUUGUGUUAAUCAGCCGAGUGUACACAUUACAUUAUUGUCUAUCAAAAAAAAAAUUAUUUUCUUAACAUUGGAGAUUAAAUUAUUAUUAUAAUUGUGAUAUUAAUUUGAUGAAGUAAAUUUAUUUUAAAAACAAAA